rnacentral:lncRNA from 1 species
AAGUNGAAACACGGGGCCAUUGUCCAUGCAUGGAUUGUUAUUGUUUACUACUGUAUAUGUACAAUUACAGUGUAUGUUACGUGCACAAUGAUAUCUUGGUCCAAGGUAGGUUAAUUUACACUUCAUCAAUUGCAUUUGUUUUACUAAGAGAUUCUUGGCGAGCAUCGACCAACCUCUCCGGUGUCACAAGGUAACCAUUCAUUUCACUUUCGUGAACAAACUCGGGUACUUUAUGUAAUGACUUUAAGCUAGUUGCAAUAUCAAGCCAGGCUGAAACUUGGGAGAAACAUUGUACAAUUGAUAAUUUUUUACUCUUGAAUCUUUUUCAUCACCAUUAAAGAUACAGUGGCAUAUAAAGAUAUGAAAAUGAAAAUGAAUCAUACGAUUUUUAUAAUGUCAGUAUUUCUUAAGUCGAAAAAUACAGUAUGGCAUACUAUGCGAUCGCACAAUACCUAUACAUCCUUAUGCACAAAGAUACUCAAAUUGGUCGUUCUGAUCCGUUGAAUAGGUGGUUCAUAUUCUUGUAUAUGGAGAGCUAGUUGAUGGAGCGGACGGGACGGGUCGAUAACUCCAAGGUAGACUCGUCCCUUCUCUGGUUGUUCAAGCCCCAUUGUUGUAUCUUUAUCCUCGUCUAUGAUGACUAUAAUCAUUGCGGAGAGUGAUUCCCAAGAAGCUUUUGUGUCUUAUCUGUAAGAAUUUUUAUUUAAAGAUGGGUUUGUAUGUGUGAACAAUUGUGUGUUAAAUUAUAGGCUAUCGAAUUCGGUUGAGCCCAAUUAAAGUGAUCUAAUAAGGUUUUGAUUUUGGGUUUUAAUGUAUCCAAUUAAAGUAUGAAUUUACAUAUGUGUAGAGAUCGGGCCCAAGUCCUAAUUCUAUGAUGGGCCGAAUUAGGUCAAAGGGCAUCCCCUAUAUAAAUAGGUUAUGGUCCCCAGAUCACAUGCAACGUCUUAUUCAUUCUCUACUGCAUCCCAUCACAAAAAGGAAAAGGAGACUGCGUGUAGAUUUGGAAAACCAUACCGCGAAAUUCAUAUUGCAUCAACCAUGUCAGAUUCAAGUAAGCUUCCGCUUUAAUUCUUAUAUUUCUUGAUGAUUUAACAUGAAAGAUCCAGUAAUUUAAAGUAUUAAAU